rnacentral:rRNA from 1 species
AUUGAACGCUGGCGGAAUGCUUUACACAUGCAAGUCGAACGGCAGCACGGGGCAACCUGGUGGCGAGUGGCGAACGGGUGAGUAAUACAUCGGAACGUGCCCAAUCGUGGGGGAUAACGUAGCGAAAGUUACGCUAAUACCGCAUACGAUCUACGGAUGAAAGCGGGGGAUCGCAAGACCUCGCGCGAAUGGAGCGGCCGAUGUCAGAUUAGGUAGUUGGUGGGGUAAAGGCUCACCAAGCCAACGAUCUGUAGCUGGUCUGAGAGGACGACCAGCCACACUGGAACUGAGACACGGUCCAGACUCCUACGGGAGGCAGCAGUGGGGAAUUUUGGACAAUGGGCGCAAGCCUGAUCCAGCCAUUCCGCGUGCAGGAUGAAGGCCUUCGGUUGUAAAC